UGACAUACCAAGCUGGAAGCAAGCAGAGGCCAAGCUUGCAAAAGGUGGUGUAUGAAUUUUAAGGAGAAAUUCACUUUUCCAAUGAGUGAGCUUAUUACAGAUAUCAG